rnacentral:pre_miRNA from 1 species
CUAAUACUCCCUCCAUCUAACAAAAGAUGUCUCAAAUUUGAAUGCAUCUGUACACUAAGUCAUGUCUAGAUACAUCUAAAUUUUAACAAAUUUGAGACAUCUUUUGUUGGACGGAUGGAGUACUUG